AUUUAUUUAGUAUAUAUAUAGUAUAUGGGACUCCAAAUCAAGAGGGAUUGAUUCUCAAAAAAAAAUA
rnacentral:tRNA from 2 species